rnacentral:lncRNA from 1 species
CCCCGAGUCCUAAUUGUUGUAUUUUCGAAGUUGGUUUGAAGGAAAAUUGAUGAAAAGUUGAGUUUUUGGAAAGUUGAGUUUUUAAGAGUUAAAGUUUGGUUAAAAGUGCUAUUUCGAGUCAUUUGGAGUUUCGAGACUCGAAUCGGAUUUUCGUCGAUUCCAGCAGUUUUAGAAUGUCGAAACGGGUCUAUGAGAAUUUACGGAGUCGAAUUUGGAGUUAAAACGAAGAUUUG